ensembl:lncRNA
GAGUUUAGGACACAUGCGUAUUCGAUAACUCUUUUAUUUCCUCUUUGGGUGUAUGUGGGCUGUAUGCUUGAUUUUUUAAGAUGAGGAUGUUUUUCAUGGCAUUGUUAGAUCCCAGUGUCUACUGUCACAGCUGCAAACAUCUGAUUUACAUCUUUGAAUAUGAUAAACAGUAGAAAACAUUAGAAAUUUAGACAGGUUAUCAGCUACAUGACUUUAAUGAAGGAACUGAAGUAGUGUAACGUGUAAUCUGUAACCUGUUACCUGUUAGUUACAUUUCCUCCCCAACACUGUAAAUAAGAGCGAGUGCCCCAGCGACGGAAGGCUUUAUGAUCAUCUGCUCUGUCUCUCAGUCUCUGGCAGAAUUUGAUCUGCGCUCCGUCAAGUACCAGAUCAAAUCAGCUCGGAGUCACGAAAUGCGUCUGAUCAAGCCUCCUCACGACUGCCUCACGUUCACCUUCCGCAGCGAGCAGGAGGCGCAGGAGGGGGCCACCGUCAUGAUGUCAUCGCUCAGAGAGUCUCACAGAGGCAGCAGUGGGUGUGGCUCAGAGAAGCCUAGUGUCAGUGACAUCAUUAACUUUGAGAUGUUGCAACUUGGAGGAUCCAAACUGAAAUCAAGUAACACACAGGUAAUAAUUACAUACAUUCACAUUUUCCAUGCAGACGGAUUGUAAAUAAUUGACCUGCAUCCACAUAAUCAUGAACCACACACUCCCACAGACGGAUUUAAAUGUUAUGAAACCUUUUAAAAAACAGGAAAAGAUGGAAAAGAUUGCAUAUAAACACCAUUACAGGGUAUAUUUGUAUAAAUGUGUCUCCUCUAAUAUAGAUCCGUCUACCAGUUUAAUGUACGUAACAAAAGCAGAUUGUUGUAUUAUGUAAUGAAUAGAGUAUGUUCAUCUCUCUGUCUUUAGUCAGGCUGGUCCUGUCCUUCCUGUACAUUCAUAAAUAAGUCUACGAGACCCGGCUGUGAAAUCUGCAGCACAGAUCGACCCAAUCCUCUCAAUCACAGCAGCGUUCAGCAGGUGAUUUCACUACAGCUACAUCUACACCUGUUCACUGUGCUGGAACACUGUGUGCUGAUGUUUAUUCUCUUUCUGUUUUAGGAACAAGCAAGAAGAUCGAACCUGUGAAACUGUGCUGUAAAUACACACAAACCCUAAGAUUAUCUCACAUUCAAACGACAUGCAAGGAACUAAACUACUAUUAGCUGCUAGUAGUUUUAAUAAGAGUUGACUUGCACACAAAGCUUCAAUCUCUCACAGUGACUGUGUGGUAUAUUUCACCGGUGGCUUCAUCUCUGGUGCUUUACAGUGCAGUUAAUAGUAACUGAUCUGAUGCUUGGUUCCUCUUAAAGGAGUUGUGACAUGGAUUUGCUUUUGAGCUUAAUUAAUACAUUCUUUGUUUAUAAUGAAGAAGAUGUUUUGAGUUAUGAAACUUACAGGCUCGAGGAAAAAUGAGAUUUCUCAUGUCACGAGUCGUUAAAUGGAGUGAUGUAACUGUUGAGCAGUAUUAGGCUUCAGAAGUGAUCCUGGUUCAUUUUAUGAGCGAACAAAAACAAAGCAGAAACCCAAUCAUCUGUGGCUCUAGAUGGUGCAAACUAUUUAGGAACUUUACUUUGCAAGUUGCACAUGAGUUUUUGUUUCAAAUAGGACAUUAUAAGUAUCUUUUAGC